AGCUCAGCGGCUGCUGGUAUUGAGGGUCGUGUGCGGCUGUGGGUGUACCUGCAGGUGGGAUUCGUAUGUCACCGGCCUCGCUGGGCCGGGUUCGUGACGUCAGAAAACAUGAAGGUAGCUGAAUCCAGGCCAGAACUAACAUUUGCUCAAGAUUGGGUCUCAAAAAGGUGUCCACUUGGACUUCACUGCCUUUGAGAAGACUCUGUUGGUUCUUCUUAGACCAGGUUAUGUGCCCUUUCAUGUACUCCUUACCUUGGUACUUAUCAGAAUCAUAACUGAAGACCAAAACCACCAAGUACUCCUGCCGCUGCCCUGCUGCCUUUACUGAGAGGCACCACUGACAGGGCAUGUCACAAGUCUGGCCAAUGAAGUAUGAAGGAAAAUCGGCUGUGUGCUUCAGGUUAGUGAACACUCACUCUUAAGAAGAGCUAUACUGGAUAAGAUGGUCUGUCCUUUCAAUGGCCAUUGUCAGGUACGAAUGGGACACUAGGAACCACCACACCCAUCUCACCACAAGGAACUGGCCUACGAACAGACCAACGUGCUGAGGAUGGCAGAGCCAGUAGAGAGAGAAAUUGGGCCUGUGAUGCUAUCAUUGAAAUUCUACACUAACCAACCCUCACAUGCCAUACUCUUGUAUUUCUUGUUAUGGUAGAUCACACAUUUAAACCAAUUACAUUGGGAUUUCUGACAUUUGAAGCUAAAGCCAUCCUUACUGACCCUGCAGCCCAAACCAUUUCCUCUGCACACUAUCUCUUCCACUGUAAGUGGAGAAUAGUCCCUCUAAGAACUCUCCCAGCUCUAACCACCCAGGAUGUUAUUAUUAUAGGUAAAAAUAGAGGUUAAAAAGGAAGAAUGAAUAUCUAGAGAAAGAUCAAAACACAAAUAUAGAUAUAGGAGUCAUCUAUGUAGUAUAAGACUUAGAAUCCUGGGGGUAAAUGAGAUUGUCAAGUGAAACUUACUGAUUGCUGUACAUGUUAACAAUAACACCUCAUGUUAUCCUCACAACAUUCUGCAAAGUUGGCAUCAUUGCUGUUUCCUAUGAAUAAACCAAGACACAGGUGUCCAGAAAAGUAUGAACAGUGUCCCAGACUCUAAGAGAUGGUCAAAAUUUCAACAGUAUCACAUGUUUCAAACAGGUCAAGAAGAAUGAAGACAAAGAAAACGUCAAAAGCCUUGAUGAUUAGGAAGUUCUUAAUGUUUUCAAGGUAACUGUUUCCAGAAAGUCAUAGGGGUGAAAGAAGAGAGUGAAAAGGGACAGAUGUUAAGGAAGUAAAGACCAUUUUUAUCAUAAGUUUAGCAACCAAAGAAAAGGGCAAGGUACUUCAAGGGAGGAACAAGUUUGAGAGAAAAAUUAUUUUGUUUCUUGUUUAAGAAGGCCUGACCACACCGGGGGGUAGAGGAAAAGGAACCAAUGGAGAAGAAGGGCUGAAGGGGCAGGAGAAGGAGGCCCUGGAACAGGUUCUGGAGGACAUGGGAGAAGAUGUGCUGUUUGGUUUCCCUCUGUUGUCUGCUCCUUGAGCUCCGGGUGAAUUGAGGGCUUUGAGGACCGAUCGAUGGCCAGACUGAGCUGAUGUAAUCACUGCUACAAGGUAUUAAUAAUGAAUGAAUGUUAUUUCUUUUAUGUGUUAUUUUAAUAGCCCUUUAUAAAAGGAUCACUGGAAAAAGACCAACAUAUCUUUCCAGAGUUUAUUUUUAAAAUGCAUAAUUCAUACAGAAAAGUAUUACUGUAUAGUGAAAGCCAACAUUUACCUCCUUCUCCUAACAGAAUGCAACCUAUGGAGAAGAAAAAGAUGAAAAAUAUUAUUAAAAAUAAAGUAGUUUAUACCGUGUCCCAAAUUUCACUGGGAAAUUACCUAGACCUACAUUACAGAGAGAAAAUUCAAAUAGAAUAAUAGAAGAUACUAUUUAGUAAGACUUAGGAUGAUAUGCCAGGCCCUGUGCUAAGCACUUCUUACACAUUAUCCUAUUUAAUCCUUAUAACACCCUGUGAGAUGGUUGUUAUUAACUUUAUUUUAUGCUGAAGAAACUGAAGCUUAGAGAUGUUAUACCCCCAAGAUCCACCUACUGUACUAUUCUGUACGAGUUUUCAUAAAUGAAAUAAUUAUUCAUAUAUACAGAGUUCUAACUAUGUUCUAAACUAUGUUCUAAAAAGUGCUGGGUACUUCCUACUCUUGUGGCAACUAUGGGAGGUGUCUGUUUUUAUUAUCUUUAGUAUAGAUGCAAACCUAAGGACCAGAAAAUCAGAUGAUAGAGCCCAUCCUUGAACCAAUAUGGUCUGAUACCUACAAAGAUUUUUUUUAAUUUUUUUUUGACCUUUACUUAUUAUUGAGAGACAGAGGAGACAGAGCAUGAGCAUGGG